rnacentral:rRNA from 1 species
CAUGCAUGUCUAAGUAUAAGCAAUCUAUACCGUGAAACUGCGAAUGGCUCAUUAAAUCAGUUAUCGUUUAUUUGAUAGUACCUUACUACUUGGAUAACCGUGGUAAUUCUAGAGCUAAUACAUGCUAAAAACCUCGACUUCGGAAGGGGUGUAUUUAUUAGAUAAAAAACCAAUGCCCUUCGGGGCUCCUUGGUGAUUCAUAAUAACUUAACGAAUCGCAUGGCCUUGUGCCGGCGAUGGUUCAUUCAAAUUUCUGCCCUAUCAACUUUCGAUGGUAUGGUCUUGGCUUACCAUGGUUUCAACGGGUAACGGGGAAUUAGGGUUCUAUUCCGGAGAGGGAGCCUGAGAAACGGCUACCACAUCCAAGGAAGGCAGCAGGCGCGCAAAUUACCCAAUCCCGACACGGGGAGGUAGUGACAAUAAAUACUGAUACAGGGCUCUUUUGGGUCUUGUAAUUGGAAUGAGUACAAUUUAAAUCCCUUAACGAGGAACAAUUGGAGGGCAAGUCUGGUGCCAGCAGCCGCGGUAAUUCCAGCUCCAAUAGCGUAUAUUAAAGUUGUUGCAGUUAAAAAGCUCGUAGUUGAACCUUGGGUCUGGUUGGCCGGUCCGCCUCACCGCGUGCACUGGUCCGACCGGAUCUUUCCUUCUGAGGAGCCGCAUGCCCUUCACUGGGUGUGUCGGGGAAUCAGGACUUUUACUUUGAAAAAAUUAGAGUGUUCAAAGCAGGCCUAUGCUCGAAUACAUUAGCAUGGAAUAAUAGAAUAGGACGUGUGGUUCUAUUUUGUUGGUUUCUAGGACCGCCGUAAUGAUUAAUAGGGAUAGUCGGGGGCAUCAGUAUUCAAUUGUCAGAGGUGAAAUUCUUGGAUUUAUUGAAGACUAACUACUGCGAAAGCAUUUGCCAAGGAUGUUUUCAUUAAUCAGUGAACGAAAGUUAGGGGAUCGAAGACGAUCAGAUACCGUCGUAGUCUUAACCAUAAACUAUGCCGACUAGGGAUCGGGCGAUGUUAUCUUUUUG